rnacentral:rRNA from 1 species
GGAGCAUCGACGCAACCUCGUAUUGUCAGACAAACAGCUUGGUUACCUCCGCCUGAUGGAUAUGUGAAGAUGAAUGUGGAUGCGGCAGUGAACAGGGAAGGAGAGUAUGGUGCAGCAGGGGUGGUGUGCAGAGACCACGAAGGUAGAUUCUUGGGGGCCUCGGCUCUGAAAGUAAAAUUCAUAACGGAAGCAAGCACAAUGGAAGCGAUCGCUGUACAGGAGGCUCAAGCAUUGGCUGAGGAUCUUUAUGUUAAUAUGGUCCACAUUGCAUCGGAUUGUAAAAGGGUGGUUGAUGAUGUCCAGAAGAACGUGGGUGCUGGAUAUGGAGCUAUAGUGCAUGAGAUUAUACAUCGG